UGAGAGAGGCGCACACGCGCACACACGUGGACUGUGACACCGGCCCCACACUCUCCACGGGGGGGAGAAUGUGGGAAAUUAUUGACACAUUGGGGCAACCCUUACCGCCGAUGCCGCGUGUGUGGGAAGACGGCUUUCGUUUUAUAAACCUCUUUUCCGGGAAAAAACGCAAUGUGAUAGUACCUGCUGAAGAAGACCCUGCUAGCUAAAUAAGGACCGGCUAACUAAUACUCAGGGCACACGCUUUACCUAAAUUAUUAGCCGUAAUCAGCUCUACUGCGGCUUGUCACGCGGUUGCGAAAGUGCGAGACUUAUCCCCAGUUCUCCAGUUUAUCCUGGCAGUUUAAAUUUCGACUGCGCAGAUAGAAUUUCCUGGAGCAGCGUGAAAUGCACAUAUAUCAGGAAGAACACCAGUGAUGAAGGGAAUCUCUGUGGCGAUCUGACCUUGGACAAAAGGAGGCUAGCGAAAAAUAGAUCCCUAACAGCCAACAUACACCGGAGGCACACCUAGGUGUGGUCAACUUUCACGUGUCCGUCCGCAGUAACGCAUAAAGUGCCCCGCAUGGGGAGUACGGCCGCAAGGCUAAAACUCAAAUGAAUUGAAAAGGACCCGCACAAGCCCCGGAGCAUGUGGCUUAAUUUUACGUAACGUGAAGAACAUUACCAAGGCUUGACAUACACCGGAACCAUCCAGAGAUGGGUCCCCCUUGUGGUCGGUGUACAGGUGAGCAUGACAUCGUCAGCUCAUGUCGUGAGAUAUUGGGUGAAGUCCGGCAACGAGCGCAACCCGCUCCCGUCUCGCCAGCAGUCCCUAGUGGUUAUGGGGGCUCACUGGAGAGAGCCGGCGUCAACUAAUAGGAAGGAAGGGGGGAAGUAAAGUAAUCAUUCCCCGCCUUUAUUGGGAGGCACACGCGCUUCAAUCAAUGGUGCAAUGAGAUGGGAUACAACGAGGUGGAGGGAAUCUCUACAAGAAGGUCUCAGUUAGUACGGGGGUCUGUAACUAGAUCCCAUGAAGUAAGAGGGAAUAGUAAUUACUGAUCAUCAAUCAUGCGGCGGAGAAUAUAUUCCC
rnacentral:rRNA from 1 species